rnacentral:lncRNA from 1 species
UCUGACUCCCCUGAGCCAUCUAGAUCCAGAGGGACAAGUUCUGAUUCUCUUUUUUGUUCAGCAAUGUUCCCAAAGGAUAUUUAUGAAGUAACUAAGGGAGAAACAAAUAUAAGAAAAACAGAAAAGCAUGGGAAUAACUGGAGAUGAAGAAACAAUUAUGGAAAGGUCAACAAUUUUCCAGAUGUGGAUUGAAGACCCUAUAACAUCUCUGACACUCUUUAAAGAGGAACACAAUGUGAGAUGGAAGAAAAGGAUUCCAGUAGAAGCAUGGAAAAACUUAAUGAACUGAUGGAAAGUGAAAUGAGAAGAAACAGAAAAACACCAUAUACAAACUCUACAACAAUGUAAAUGGAAA